GAAACGACUGCUAAGACUGGAUAGGAAAUAAAAAGGCAUCUUUUUAUUUUUAAAAGACCUUUUUCGGAAGGUAUGCUUAAAGAGGGGCUUGCGUCACAUUAGUUAGUUGGCAGGGUAAAGGCCUACCAAGACUAUGAUGUGUAGCUGGACUGAGAGGUUGGACAGCCACAUUGGGACUGAGACACGGCCCAAACUCCUACGGGAGGCAGCAGUAGGGAAUUUUCGGCAAUGGAGGAAACUCUGACCGAGCAACGCCGCGUGAACGAUGAAGUAUUUCGGUAUGUAAAGUUCUUUUAUUGAAGAAGAAAAAAUAGUGGAAAAACUAUCUUGACGAUAUUCAAUGAAUAAGCCCCGGCAAACUAUGUGCCAGCAGCCGCGGUAAUACAUAGGGGGCGAGCGUUAUCCGGAAUUAUUGGGCGUAAAGGGUGCGUAGGCGGUUUAAUAAGUCUAUAGUUUAAUUUCAGUGCUUAACACUGUCCUGCUAUAGAAACUAUUAGACUAGAGUGAGAUAGAGGCAAGUGGAAUUCCAUGUGUAGCGGUAAAAUGCGUAAAUAUAUGGAGGAACACCAGAGGCGUAGGCGGCUUGCUGGGUCUUUACUGACGCUGAGGCACGAAAGCGUGGGGAGCAAACAGGAUUAGAUACCCUGGUAGUCCACGCCGUAAACGAUGAGUACUAAGUGUCGGGACUACUCGGUACUGAAGUUAACACAUUAAGUACUCCGCCUGAGUAGUACGUACGCAAGUAUGAAACUUAAAGGAAUUGACGGGACUCCGCACAAGCGGUGGAUCAUGUUGUUUAAUUCGAAGAUACACGAAAAACCUUACCAGGUCUUGACAUACUCUGCAAAGCUAUAGCAAUAUAGUGGAGGUUAUCAGGGAUACAGGUGGUGCAUGGUUGUCGUCAGCUCGUGUCGUGAGAUGUUAGGUUAAGUCCUAAAACGAGCGCAACCCUUGUCAUUAGUUGCCAGCAUGUCAUGGUGGGCACUUUAAUGAGACUGCCAACGAAAAAUUGGAGGAAGGUGAGGAUCACGUCAAAUCAUCAUGCCCCUUAUGAUCUGGGCUACAAACGUGAUACAAUGACUGUUACAAAGAGUAGCUGAAACGCAAGUUUAUAGCCAAUCUCAUAAAAGCAGUCUCAGUUCGGAUUGAAGUCUGCAACUCGACUUCAUGAAGUUGGAAUCGCUAGUAAUCGCGAAUCAGCAUGUCGCGGUGAAUACGUUCACGGGGUUUGUACACACCGCCCGUCA
rnacentral:rRNA from 1 species